UUACAAUGGCGGGGUUUUGGUGCACGCGGACAUGUCCAUGUCCGCAGUUAAACGGGAAACACGGCGCUGGGCAAAUUAAAACUGCCAGCCAACGUGUGCUGCCCCCGCAACGGUAAAACAAGCGUCGCCGGUUCCAUCCUUCAUGGAUGUGUCGAGCGACAGAACGCAUCUCGAGCCACUGUGCAGCAAGCCUGCAUGGGAAGGUUAUGCGCUCCGGCUUGUUAGCCCGGAUACCGGCCAGAUCAGGGGGAGUAAG
rnacentral:ncRNA from 1 species